GACGAACGCUGGCGGCGUGCUUAACACAUGCAAGUCGAACGGAAAGGCCCUGCUUUUGUGGGGUGCUCGAGUGGCGAACGGGUGAGUAACACGUGGAUAACCUACCUAUAAGACUGGGAUAACUUCGGGAAACCGGAGCUAAUACCGGAUAAUAUAUUGAACCGCAUGGUUCAAUAGUGAAAGACGGUUUUGCUGUCACUUAUAGAUGGAUCCGCGCCGCAUUAGCUAGUUGGUAAGGUAACGGCUUACCAAGGCAACGAUGCGUAGCCGACCUGAGAGGGUGAUCGGCCACACUGGAACUGAGACACGGUCCAGACUCCUACGGGAGGCAGCAGUAGGGAAUCUUCCGCAAUGGGCGAAAGCCUGACGGAGCAACGCCGCGUGAGUGAUGAAGGUCUUCGGAUCGUAAAACUCUGUUAUUAGGGAAGAACAAAUGUGUAAGUAACUAUGCACGUCUUGACGGUACCUAAUCAGAAAGCCACGGCUAACUACGUG
rnacentral:rRNA from 1 species